UUCACCACUCUGUCUGACCCGACCUUUUACGUAUUGGGAAACGGAUACGCCCAGAAUACCAUGCCGUACCAAUACGGCACCUCAUUCGUUGCCCUAAAGCAUUACAUUGUUGAUUGACAGAAUUUCUCCGCAACCCGCGGGGCUAAAAUAAACGCGAAAUAAAGCAAAAAAGGCUACAUAAAAUUCUGUUUCAUCGGAGGAAAAAAAGAAAAAUCACUGAAUCAAGAGUCAAGAAUCAUGAGGGACAACGGGUUUUUAUGCGGGACAGACCAGACUGCAUGGGGAGGCCCAUCCCGCUUCUGCGCUAGCCUGUGCCAAAAUGAUGAUAAGCAUUGCAGCAAACCUGGGAAGGAAUCAACGGUGUCAGAUCAUCCCACUUGCUGGCUUGUGAACAAGCGGCGGUAGUUUUCUGGACAGAUUCCGCCCCGCACUAUUCUUGCCCGUGCAUUUCUAAGUUCCUUUAUAACAUCCAGGCUGUGGGAAACUUUCAUUCGGACGACAAAUACGGGCUUGACUUAAAAGAAUUGGGAAAUGAUGGGCGCAGUACGGAGUAUUUGCCCUUCGAGUCAAAACGGGGCGAUUUGUCUCCUCCCCUCAUCUGGAAGCCGAACUUGGACUAAUCAGUGUCGGUUCCAAGCCAACACUGCGUGGCGGUGACUAAUAACGAUUGAAGGGCCUUCUUUUCAGUCAUGGAUGUUCAGGCAAACCAUUUGACAACCAAUGCAUAUGUGGAUCAAGUAAUAUUUCAAUA
rnacentral:sRNA from 2 species